rnacentral:rRNA from 1 species
UACAGAGGAUGCAAGCGUUAUCCGGAAUGAUUGGGCGUAAAGCGUCUGGUAGGUGGCUUUUUAAGUCCGCCGUCAAAUCCCAGGGCUCAACUCUGGACAGGCGGUGGAAACUACCAAGCUGGAGUACGGUAGGGGCAGGAGGGAAUUUCCGGUGGAGCAGUGAAAUGCGUAGAUAUCAAGCGGAACACCAGUGGCGAAGGCGAGUCCCUGGACAACUCCUGACACUGAGGCACGAAAGCUAGGGGAGCAAACAGG